AACGAACGCUGGCGGCGUGCUUAACACAUGCAAGUCGAACGCGAACGGGUUCUUCGGGACCUUAGUAGAGUGGCGCACGGGUGAGUAACGCGUAAGUUAUCUACCUCGGCAUCUGGAAUAACUCACCGAAAGGUGUGCUAAUACCGGAUACGUUGAGUAAUCAAGAAAGGUGGCCUCUCUUUGAUGCUACCGUGCUGAGAUGAGCUUGCGUACCAUUAGCUAGUUGGUGGGGUAAUGGCCUACCAAGGCGACGAUGGUUAGCGGGUCUGAGAGGAGGAUCCGCCACACUGGAACUGGAACACGGACCAGACUCCUACGGGAGGCAGCAGUGAGGAAUAUUGCGCAAUGGGGGCAACCCUGACGCAGCGACGCCGCGUGGAUGAUGAAGGCCUUCGGGUCGUAAAAUCCUGUCAGGUGGAAAGAAAUGUAUAUGUGCUAAUACCAUGUAUACUUGACGGUACCACCGAAGGAAGCACCGGCUAACUCCGUGCCAGCAGCCGCCGCAGUAA
rnacentral:rRNA from 1 species